AAAUAUCAAGUCUUGUGUAGGUCUUAAAGUAAAAGCACAGCUUCUUUCUCAGCUUUAAUUAUUACAUCCCAAGAUACCUUCAACAGUCAGCAAUGGCCCCUGAAAAGGAGGAGGAGGAGGUCAUGAGGGUGAAAAUAACUGGCAAAUGCCGUGUGAAGCCCAACAAGAACCUGGGAAGAAGUGAAUGUCAGUUGGUCACUUUUGAUCUUCCAUACAUAGCAUUUCAGUACAACCAAAAGCUGAUGGUUUACAAGGGAGAUGAGUAUGAGG
rnacentral:lncRNA from 1 species